GUUGUUGCAGUUAAAAAGCUCGUAGUUGGAUUUCUGGCUUGACGUGUCUGACCCGCCGCAAUUUAUGUGUGUGAGUGUCGGUACCCGUCUGCCAUCCUUCUGGAAAACGUAUCUACCUUUCAUUAGGCCGGAUAUGCGAUCCAGAUCUUUUACUUUGAAGAAAUUAGAGUGUUCAAAGCAGGCUCGCGCUGUGAAUACAUUAGCAUGGAAUAAUAAUUUAGGACUACGGUUCUAUUUUGUUGGUUUCUAGGACUGAAGUAAUGAUUGAUAGGGAUAGUUGGGGGUGCUAGUAUUCAGCGGCCAGAGGUGAAAUUCUCGGAUUCGCUGAAGACUAACUUAUGCGAAAGCAUUCACCAAGGAUGUCUUCUUUAAUCAAGAACGAAAGUUGGGGGAUCGAAGACGAUCAGAUACCGUCGUAGUCUCAACCAUAAACUAUACCGACUAAGGAUGAGUGAACGUUGUAUCUUCGACUUCAUUCGCACUUUAUGAGAAAUCAAAGUCUUUGGGUUCCGGGGGGAGUAUGGUCGCAAGGCUGAAACUUAAAGGAAUUGACGGAAGGGCACCACCAGGAGUGGAGCCUGCGGCUUAAUUUGACUCAACACGGGAAAACUUACCAUGUCCAGACAUAGUGAGGAUUGACAGAUUGAAGAUCUUUCUUGAUUCUAUGGGUGGUGGUGCAUGGCCGUUCU
rnacentral:rRNA from 1 species